AGGACUAACGCUGGCGGCGUGCCUAACACAUGCAAGUCGAACGAGGUAGCAAUACCUAGUGGCAGACGGGUGAGUAACACGUAGUCAACCUUCCCGAUAGUGGGGGGUAACUAGCCGAAAGGUUAGCUAAUACCGCAUACGAUCUUCGAGUGGCAUCAUUUGAAGAUGAAAGGAGCAAUCAGCUUUCGGACGGGACUGCGUCCCAUUAGCUAGAUGGUGGGGUAAUGGCCUACCAUGGCAACGAUGGGUAGCUGGUUUGAGAGAGCGACCAGCCACACUGGGACUGAGAAACGGCCCAGACUCCUACGGGAGGCAGCAGUGAGGAAUUUUCCGCAAUGGGCGAAAGCCUGACGGAGCGACGCCGCGUGUGGGAAGAAGGCCUUCGGGUCGGUAAACCACUGUCGAAGGGAAAUACUGAUGGUACCCUUGGAGGAAGCCCGGCUAACUACGUGCCAGCAGCCGC
rnacentral:rRNA from 1 species